UCGAGGAUCUUCGGCAAUGGGCGCAAGCCUGACCGAGCGACGCCGCGUGUGCGAUGAAGGCCUUCGGGUUGUAAAGCACUGUCGAGGGGGAGGAAGCCGAAAGGUUGACCUAUCCCUGGAGGAAGCACGGGCUAAGUUCGUGCCAGCAGCCGCGGUAAGACGAACCGUGCGAACGUUGUUCGGAAUCACUGGGCUUAAAGGGCGCGUAGGCGGGCUAUCAAGUCCGGGGUGAAAUCUUUCGGCUCAACCGGAAAAGUGCCUUGGAUACUGGUAGUCUGGAGGGAGGUAGGGGUAUGUGGAACUUCCGGUGGAGCGGUGAAAUGCGUUGAUAUCGGAAGGAACGCCGGUGGCGAAAGCGACGUACUGGACCUCUUCUGACGCUGAGGCGCGAAAGCUAGGGGAGCGAACGGGAUUAGAUACCCCCGUAGUCC
rnacentral:rRNA from 1 species